UUUUUAGUGGCAGACGAAAAAUGCUUAGAUUUUAAGCAUCUAAUAUAGAAUUUAUUCUCUUUUUCUUAAGU
rnacentral:tRNA from 1 species